rnacentral:rRNA from 1 species
ACACAUGCAAGUCGAAGCGAUGAAACCCUUUCGGGGUGAAUUAAGCGGCGGACGGGUGAGUAACACGCGGGUAACCUGCCUUAUAGAGGGGGAUAGCCUUCCGAAAGGAAGAUUAAUACCGCAUGAAAUGUUUUUAUCGCAUGGUAGAAACAUCAAAGGAGUAAUCCGCUAUAAGAUGGACCCGCGGCGCAUUAGCUAGUUGGUGAGGUAACGGCCCACCAAGGCGACGAUGCGUAGCCGACCUGAGAGGGUGAUCGGCCACAUUGGAACUGAGACACGGUCCAGACUCCUACGGGAGGCAGCAGUGGGGAAUAUUGCGCAAUGGGGGAAACCCUGACGCAGCAACGCCGCGUGAAUGAAGAAGGCCUUAGGGUUGUAAAGUUCUGUUUUCUGGGACGAUAAUGACGGUACCAGAGGAGGAAGCCACGGCUAACUACGUGCCAGCAGCCGCGGUAAUACGUAGGUGGCAAGCGUUGUCCGGAUUUACUGGGCGUAAAGGAUGCGUAGGCGGAUGUUUAAGUGAGAUGUGAAAUACCCGAGCUCAACUUGGGUGCUGCAUUUCAAACUGGAUAUCUAGAGUGCAGGAGAGGAAAGCGGAAUUCCUAGUGUAGCGGGUGAAAUGCGUAGAGAUUAGGAAGAACACCAGUGGCGAAGCGCUUUUCUGGACUGUAACUGACGCUGAGCAUGAAAGCGUGGGGGAGCAAACAGAUUAAAAUACCUGUUAGUCACGCGUAACGAUGAUACUAGGUGUAGGAGGUUUCGACUCCUUCUUGUGGCCGCAGUAACCACAAAUAGUAUUC